UACAGAGGUCUCAAGCGUUGUUCGGAUUCAUUGGGCGUAAAGGGUGCGUAGGCGGCGCGGUAAGUCGGGUGUGAAAUCUCGGGGCUUAACUCCGAAACUGCAUUCGAUACUGCCGUGCUUGAGGACUGGAGAGGAGACUGGAAUUUACGGUGUAGCGGUGAAAUGCGUAGAUAUCGUAAGGAAGACCAGUGGCGAAGGCGGGUCGCUGGGCCGAUACUGACGCUGAGGAGCGAAAGCGUGGGGAGCGAACAGG
rnacentral:rRNA from 1 species